AUGACUACUUCUUAAGACCGACGAGUUAAUUUUUUCCAGUGCAUUAAUUUGCGCAGUUCUGUGAAUUUUGUGAUAAUUAUGGGCCAUUUAAACUUGAUCUUUGUAUUAUUAUGGCUACAACCAUUUUUAAUAAGGACAGAAACGAGUUAUAAUUCCAUGCUGAUAAAAGACUUGAAAAUUUCAAAAUGUUCAAGUAGAGAUUACCCUGUGACCGUAGCUAAUGUCACACUUGAAAUGGGUUCAAAAUCCAAAAUUAAGGUCACUGGGAGCCUGAGUUCCACAAUUGACCUUGUAGGCCCGAUUAAGGCGUCCUUAUGGAUAGAACGUGAUAUUUGGGGGGUGUGGAUACCAAUCCCUUGUGAGAAUGGUUUAGGGUCCUGUACUUAUAACAAUUUGUGUGAUUACGGAUUUCCGGUUGGCCAAACUUGCCCGGAAGUUUUCAUAAAGAAUAGUGUGCCAUGUAGAUGCCCGAUUGUCAAGGGGAAUUACACGAUUUUGCCGUCACUUGACGUUUCAGUGCUGCCAACGUCGCUUUUAUCAGGGACUUACAAAGGAAUUGUGAAAGUAACACAAAACGGACUGUUUCUCUCGUGUUACAACGUUUAUUUUGUCUUGUACGAUACAUUAGAUAACGAAGUGUAUUCAGUUACACAAGUAUAACACAUUUUUAUUUUUUAAUAAAAUCAGUUAUUUUUC